rnacentral:rRNA from 1 species
AACGAACGCUGGCGGCAUGCCUAACACAUGCAAGUCGAACGAGACGUUCGGGUCUAGUGGCGCACGGGUGCGUACCGCGUGGGAACCUGCCCUUAGGUUCGGAAUAACUCACCGAAAGGGGUGCUAAUACCGGAUAAUGUCUUCGGACCAAAGAUUUAUCGCCUUUGGAUGGGCCCGCGUUGGUUUAGCUAGUUGGUAGGGUAAAAGCAUACCAAGGCGACGAUCCAUAGCUGGUCUGAGAGGAUGCUCAGCCACACUGGGACUGAGACACGGCCCAGACUCCUACGGAAGGCAGCAGUGGGGAAUAUUGGAGAAUGGGCGAAAGCCUGAUACAGCAAUGCCGGGUGAGUGAUGAAGGCCUUAGGGUUGUAAAGCUCUUUUACCCGAGAUGAUAAUGACGGUACCGGGAGAAUAAGCUCCGGCUAACUCCGUG